UGCGCAGGCGGGCUUGUAAGUCAGUGGUGAAAUCCUGCCGCUUAACGGUAGAAUUGCCAUUGAUACUGCGAAUCUUGAGUAUGGUUGAGGUAGGCGGAAUGUGUAGUGUAGCGGUGAAAUGCAUAGAUAUUACACAGAACUCCGAUUGCGAAGGCAGCUUACUAAGCCAUAACUGACGCUGAGGCACGAAAGCGUGGGGAGCGAACAGGAUUAGAUACCCUGGUAGUCC
rnacentral:rRNA from 1 species